GGGCGGAUAGCUCAGCUGGUAGAGCAUCGCCCUUACAAGGCGAGGGUCACAGGUUCAAGUCCUGUUCCGCCUACCA
rnacentral:tRNA from 4 species